GCCCCGAUAGCUCAGUGGUAGAGCACUUCCAUGGUAAGGAAGGGGUCCCCAGUUCAAUCCUGGGUCGGGGCU
rfam:Leucobacter sp. 7(1) genome assembly, contig: Scaffold1